GGCCUGCGCGGAAGAUGUAACGGGGCUAAACCAUGCACCGAAGCUGCGGCAGCGACACUGUGUGUUGUUGGGUAGGGGAGCGUUCUGUAAGCCUGUGAAGGUGUGUCGUGAGGCAUGCUGGAGGUAUCAGAAGUGCGAAUGCUGACAUAAGUAACGAUAAAGCGGGUGAAAAGCCCGCUCGCCGGAAGACCAAGGGUUCCUGUCCAACGUUAAUCGGGGCAGGGUGAGUCGACCCCUAAGGCGAGGCCGAAAGGCGUAGUCGAUGGGAAACGGGUUAAUAUUCCCGUACUUGGUGUUACUGCGAAGGGGGGACGGAGAAGGCUAUGUUGGCCGGGCGACGGUUGUCCCGGUUUAAGCGUGUAGGUGUGUGUUCCAGGUAAAUCCGGUUCACUUUAACACUGAGGCGUGACGACGAGGCACUACGGUGCUGAAGCAACAAAUGCCCUGCUUCCAGGAAAAGCCUCUAAGCAUCAGGUAACAUCAAAUCGUACCCCAAACCGACACAGGUGGUCAGGUAGAGAAUACCAAGGCGCUUGAGAGAACUCGGGUGAAGGAACUAGGCAAAAUGGUGCCGUAACUUCGGGAGAAGGCACGCUGACACGUAGGUGAAGUGAUUUACUCAUGGAGCUGAAGUCAGUCGAAGAUACCAGCUGGCUGCAACUGUUUAUUAAAAACACAGCACUGUGCAAACACGAAAGUGGACGUAUACGGUGUGACGCCUGCCCGGUGCCGGAAGGUUAAUUGAUGGGGUCAGCGCAAGCGAAGCUCCUGAUCGAAGCCCCGGUAAACGGCGGCCGUAACUAUAACGGUCCUAAGGUAGCGAAAUUCCUUGUCGGGUAAGUUCCGACCUGCACGAAUGGCGUAAUGAUGGCCAGGCUGUCUCCACCCGAGACUCAGUGAAAUUGAACUCGCUGUGAAGAUGCAGUGUACCCGCGGCAAGACGGAAAGACCCCGUGAACCUUUACUAUAGCUUGACACUGAACAUUGAGCCUUGAUGUGUAGGAUAGGUGGGAGGCUUUGAAG
rnacentral:rRNA from 1 species